rnacentral:rRNA from 1 species
AACAGGAUUAGAUACCCUGGUAGUCCACGCCGUAAACGAUGAGUACUAGGUGUCGGGGGUUACCCCCCUCGGUGGCGCAGCUAACGCAUUAAGUACUCCGCCUGGGAAGUACGCUCGCAAGAGUGAAGCUCAAAGGAAUUGACGGGGACCCGCACAAGUAGCGGAGCAUGUGGUUUAAUUCGAAGCAACGCGAAGAACCUUACCUAAGCUUGACAUCCUUUUGACCUCUCCCUAAUCGGAGAUUUCCCUUCGGGGACAGAAGUGACAGGUGGUGCAUGGUUGUCGUCAGCUCGUGUCGUGAGAUGUUGGGUUAAGUCCCGCAACGAGCGCAACCCUUGCCUUUAGUUGCCAGCAUUAAGUUGGGCACUCUAGAGGGACUGCCAGGGAUAACCUGGAGGAAGGUGGGGAUGACGUCAAAUCAUCAUGCCCCUUAUGCUUAGGGCUACACACGUGCUACAAUGGGUGGUACAGAGGGCAGCCAAGUCGUGAGGCGGAGCUAAUCCCUUAAAGCCAUUCUCAGUUCGGAUUGUAGGCUGAAACUCGCCUACAUGAAGCUGGAGUUACUAGUAAUCGCAGAUCAGAAUGCUGCGGUGAAUGCGUUCCCGGGUCUUGUACACACCGCCCGUCACACCACGGAAGUUGGGGGCGCCCGAAGCCGGAUUGCUAACCUUUUGGAAGCGUCCGUCGAAGGUGAAAUCAAUAACUGGGGUGAAGUCGUAACAAGGUAACC